rnacentral:rRNA from 1 species
UACGUAGGGGGCGAGCGUUACCCGGAUUUACUGGGCGUAAAGGGGGCGUAGGCGGCCGUGAAAGUCCGGUGUAAAAACUCACGGCUCAACCGUGGGACUGCGCUGGAAACUACACGGCUUGAGGACGGUAGAGGGAGACGGAACUGCUGGUGUAGGGGUGAAAUGCGUAGAUAUCAGCAGGAACGCCGGUGGAGAAGUCGGUCUCCUGGGCCGUUCCUGACGCUGAGGCCCGAAAGCUAGGGGAGCAAACCGG